rnacentral:tRNA from 1 species
AUAAAUGUAGAUUAAAAAAAUCAUUGAUCUGUGAAUUCAAUAAUGCAAAAGCCGUUUAUA